rnacentral:rRNA from 1 species
AUGGGAACUGAGACAAGGUCCUAGGCCCUACGGGGCGCAGCAGGCGCGAAAACUCCACAAUGCGCGAAAGCGCGAUGGGGUUACCCCGAGUGCCUUCCGUUGAGGAAGGCUUUUCCUCAGUGUAAGGAGCUGAGGGAAUAAAGGGGGGGCAAGACUGGUGUCAGCCGCCGCGGUAAUACCAGCCCCCUGAGUGAUAGGGACAAUUGUUUAGCCUAAAGCGUCCGUAGCCGGCUUAGCAAGUCUUUCGUUAAAUCUGACGAUUUAAUCGUUAGGCCGCGGAAGAUACUGCUAGGCUAGAGGGCGGGAGAGGUUGACGGUAGUCCCGGGGUAGGGGUGAAAUCCUAUAAUCCCAGGAGGACCACCAGUGGCGAAGGCGGUCAACUAGAACGCGCCUGACGGUGAGGGACGAAAGCUGGGGGAGCGAACCGGAUUAGACACCCGGGUAGUCCCAGCUGUAAACGAUGCGGGCUAGGUGUUGGGUCAGCUACGAGCUGCCCCGGUGCCGCAGAGAAGUCGUUAAGCCCGCCGUUUGGGAAGUACGGCCGCAAGGCUGAAACUUAAAGGAAUUGGCGGGGGAGCACCACAAGGGGUGAAGCCUGCGGUUCAAUUGGAUUCAACGCCGGAAAUCGAA